rnacentral:tRNA from 1 species
GGUCGAUUGGCGCAGUUGGUUAGCGCGUGGCACUAAUAGGAAACUGUGUGAUGCCAAGGUCAAGAGUUCAAGCCUCUUAUUGACCA